GCAAUGACGUUGGCUCUCUCCCCGCCAUCGCCUGCCACCCCAUCAGCCCCGCCGCUGCUUCCAUCUGCGAAGCCGGGGCCACCCUCGGCCGCCACCUCGCCCGCCGCCUCGUCCAGGUUGGUGCCAACGACGUAUUCUCCGUCCCCGGCGACUUCAACCUCACCCUCCUCGACCAUCUCAUCGCCGAGCCCGGCCUCAACAUCAUCGGAUGCUGCAACGAGCUCAACGCCGGAUACGCAGCCGAUGGAUACGCCCGCUCCCGCGGCGUCGGCGCCUGCGUCGUCACCUUCUCCGUCGGCGGCCUCAGCGUGCUUAACGCCAUCGCCGGCGCUUAUAGCGAGAACCUCCCUGUUAUUUGCAUCGUCGGCGGUCCCAACUCGAACGACUACGGUACCAACCGCAUCCUCCACCACACCAUCGGCCUCCCUGACUUCUCCCAGGAGCUCCGCUGUUUCCAGACCGUCACCUGCU
rnacentral:lncRNA from 1 species